CCUACGGGUGGCAGCAGUGGGGAAUCUUCCGCAAUGGGCGAAAGCCUGACGGAGCAACGCCGCGUGAUCGAAUGAAGGCCGUCGGGUUGUAGAGAUCUGUUUACAGGGACGAAUAAGCCAUGCGCAUAGUUUGGUGUAUGACGGUACCUGUUUAGAAAGCUCCGGCUAACUACGUGCCAGCAGCCGCGGUAAUACGAGGGGAGCAAGCUUUGUCCGGAAGUACUGGGCGUAAAGGGCGCGUAGGUGGGUGCUUAAGUCAGGUGUGAAAACUCUGGGCUCAACCUGGAGACUACACUUGAAACUGGGUAUCUUGAGGGCAGGAGAGGAAAGUGGAAUUCCUAGUGUAGCGGUGAAAUGAGUAGAUAUUAGGAGGAACACCAGUGGCGAAGGCGACUUUCUGGACUGUACCUGACGCUGAGGCGCGAAAGCGUGGGUAGCGAACGGGAUUAGAUACCCUUGUAGUC
rnacentral:rRNA from 1 species